rnacentral:sRNA from 13 species
UCAGACUGAGUAUUUGUUAAAAGAAACUGGCAUGGUGAAUCCCCCUGUGCGGAGGGGCAUAUCAGCGACAGGUGGUUGGUUAUAUCCCUUAUCUGGUGCGGGUUCAGGUGCUGAUACUGAACUCACCGGGAGGCACCCGGCAUCAUGCUGUAUACAGAGAUUAGGCAUAUAUCCAGGCUCCUCAUCGCAGGAGCCUUUUUACAUGC